GGGGGCGAUCAGGUUCGACUGGUAUGGUGGAAGUCUGGGAGCAGGCCGACCGACGGGCGCAACCCGUCACCAAAAAGAAACGACAACAACUACGCACUGGCUGCUUAAUUAAGCAGUCGCCCGAAUGAUGAAGAGCGCCCGCAUAAUCAGGAGGGCUAAUCACAGCGAGCGGCGUACUGUCGCGGAACGUAGAGAUUUGGCAGCUGUUUUGUCGAUCACAGCGCCAUUUCUGCGAAGAAAAGAAAUCGACUAAGCCUGUAGCGCCCAUUCAUACCCAUUAUGCCAGGACCGGGGUGCGAUUCCCCGCGCCUCCACCA
rnacentral:tmRNA from 1 species